rnacentral:rRNA from 1 species
UACGUAGGUGACAAGCGUUAUCCGGAUUUAUUGGGCGUAAAGCGCACGCAGGCGGCGGCUCAAGUCUGACGUGAAAUCUCUCGGCUUAACCGGGAGCGGUCGUUGGAAACUGAGUGGCUUGAGGCGAUGAGAGGGGUGUGGAAUUCCCGGUGUAGUGGUGGAAUGCGUAGAUAUCGGGGGGAACAUCAGUGGCGAAAGCGGCACCCUGGCAUUAGCCUGACGCUCAUGUGCGAAAGCGUGGGGAGCGAACGGG